UGCUCUUCUGGAUGAGUUGCGAACGGGUGAGUAACGCGUAGGUAACCUGCCUGGUAGCGGGGGAUAACUAUUGGAAACGAUAGCUAAUACCGCAUAAGAGUAGAUAUCGCAUGAUAGCUGCUUGAAAGGUGCAAUUGCACCACUACCAGAUGGACCUGCGUUGUAUUAGCUAGUUGGUGAGGUAACGGCUCACCAAGGCAACGAUACAUAGCCGACCUGAGAGGGUGAUCGGCCACACUGGGACUGAGACACGGCCCAGACUCCUACGGGAGGCAGCAGUAGGGAAUCUUCGGCAAUGGACGAAAGUCUGACCGAGCAACGCCGCGUGAGUGAAGAAGGUUUUCGGAUCGUAAAGCUCUGUUGUAAGAGAAGAACGAGUGUGAGAGUGGAAAGUUCACACUGUGACGGUAUCUUACCAGAAAGGGACGGCUAACUACGUGCCAGCAGCCGCGGUAAUACGUAGGUCCCGAGCGUUGUCCGGAUUUAUUGGGCGUAAAGCGAGCGCAGGCGGUUAGAUAAGUCUGAAGUUAAAGGCUGUGGCUUAACCAUAGUACGCUUUGGAAACUGUUUAACUUGAGUGCAAGAGGGGAGAGUGGAAUUCCAUGUGUAGCGGUGAAAUGCGUAGAUAUAUGGAGGAAC
rnacentral:rRNA from 1 species